rnacentral:rRNA from 1 species
AUGGGAGGAGAAGGCGGGCUCCCGUGGUGGCUGCCCACCAUCGGGUGCUCGCCGCCACCGUCUUCAUCCGGCUCCUUCGCCGGAACCCUCGCCUUCCUCCUCCUCUCGCCGUGCCCGCAGCGCGCGCUUCUCGGCGCCAUCGACCUCCUCUUCCUCGCCGCAUCGCUCGUCCUCGCCGCCCUCUGCCGCCGUGGCGCCAACGGCGCGUCCCCUGAAAAGGAUCCGCUGCUGCCCUCACCGACGCCGGACGUGCCGGUCCGGGCCACCGGCCGGCACGCCGUUGCCCUCGGUGCCUCCGCGGUCACCUCCGCGGCGUCUGUCGUCCUCCUCGCACUCGCGAUCUUCCUCCUGCCGGCAGCAGGCACUACGCCGUGGCGCGUCGCGGGGUGCACCUUCCUCGCCGCCCACUGCGCCGCGCACGCCGCGGCCGCGUGGACCGUGCUCGCCUCGGCGAAACGAGCCUCCGCUCACCCUUGGCACCUCCGCGUGUUUUGGGUCGCCACCGCCCUCGGCGCCGUGCUAUUCUCCGUCUCCGCGGCCCUCCGCUGCGCCGACGGCUCGCCGCUCCUCCCCGACGACGUCCUCGCCUUCGCCGGCCUGCUCGUGUCGCUUCCUCUCGCGUACGUGGCCAUCACCACCUGCACAGCGCGUGAUGAAGAGGCCGCCGAACAGGACCAGAACCCCAGCGCGGCGGUGGCGGCGACGCCGUACGUGACUGCGUCGUUCCUCUCGCGCGCGACCUUCAGCUGGAUCAACCCGCUGGUCUCCAAGGGGCACGCCAACGAGUCCCUCGCCGACACCGACGUCCCGCCGGUGUCGCCAGACCACCGCGCCGAGUCUGCGUACGCUCUUCUCGCGUCCAACUGGCCGGCGGCAGCGCGAGGGUGGCGGAGCCCGGUGGGCGUCGCGCUGUGGCUGUCCUUCUGGCCGCAGUUCCUGCUCAUCGCGGCGCUGGGGCUCGUGCAGCUGGCGGCCAUGUACGUCGGCCCGUCGCUCAUCGACCGGUUCGUCGAGUUCAUCCGCCGGGGCGGCACGCCAUGGGAGGGCCUCCGGCUGGUCGCCAUCCUGAUCGCCGGCAAGGCGGUCCAGACGCUGGCGUCGCACCACUACAACUUCCAGGGCCAGCUCCUGGGCAUGCGCAUCCGCGGCGCGCUGCUCACGGCGCUGUACCGCAAGUCGCUGCGGCUGUCCACCGGCGCGGCGCGCGCGCACGGCGCGGGCGCCAUCGUGAACUACAUGCAGGUGGACGCGUCGAUGGUGUCCGGCGCCAUGCACGGGCUGCACGGCCUGUGGCUGAUGCCGCUGCAGAUUGCAGUAGCCCUGUUCCUCCUGUACGCGUACCUCGGCCCCGCCGUGCUCAUGACGCUCGCCGUGAUCUUCGGCGUCAUCGUGGUCACCGCGUUCGCCAACAAGCUCAACCUCGGCUACCAGUUCAAGUUCUUCGGCGCCCGCGACAGCCGCGUCAAGGCCCUGACGGAGAUGCUCGGCAACAUGCGCGUGAUCAAGCUGCAGGCGUGGGAGGAGACCUUCGGCGGCAAGGUGCGGGAGCUCCGUCGGGCCGAGGUGGGGUGGCUGAAGAAGGUGAUACUCUUCGUGUGCGCUACCAACGUGGUCUAUUCCAGCGGGCCCAUUGCCAUGACAGUUCUCGUGUUCGGGACGUACCUCGCCGCCGGAGGGGAGCUCGACGCCGGCAAGGUGUUCACGGCCACCGCCUUCUUCCGCAUGCUCGAGGGACCCAUGAGCAACUUCCCGCAGACGAUCGUGAUGUCCAUGCAGGCGUUCGUGUCGCUCGGCAGGCUGGACAAGUUCUUGGCGGAUGCCGAGAUCGACACCAUGGCGGUGGAGCGUCUUGGCAGUGGCCCCGCCGGGGAUGAGGUGGCCGUGAAGGUGCAAUGUGGAGUGUUCGAAUGGGACGUCCAGGGCGGCGAUGGCGAGGAGAAGGAUGUCAGAGGGGAGGAGCCGGUGCUGAAAGGGAUCGAGGUGGAGGUGUGGAAGGGGGAACUCGCGGCGGUGGUCGGAGCGGUUGGCUCCGGCAAGUCGUCGUUGCUGUCCUGCAUCAUGGGAGAGAUGCAUAAGGUCUCCGGCAAGGUUAGCGUGUAUGGGACCACGGCAUGUGUCACUCAGACAGCUUGGAUCCGGAAUGGAACCAUUCAAGAAAACAUUUUGUUUGGACAGCCGAUGAAUGCAGAGACAUACAAGAAAGUCAUACAUGCUUGUUGCUUACAAAAAGAUUUAGAAAUGAUGGAGUUUGGCGACCAGACUGAAAUAGGGGAGCGAGGGAUCAACCUAAGUGGUGGCCAGAAGCAGCGCAUCCAGUUGGCAAGAGCAGUUUAUCAAGAUUGUGAUAUAUAUCUCCUUGAUGACAUAUUUAGUGCAGUUGAUGCUCAUACUGGCUCAACUAUCUUUAAGGAAUGUCUCAAGGGCCUACUCAAGAAUAAGACUGUUUUGCUUGUUACUCACCAAGUGGAUUUCUUGCGAAAUGUGGAUACUGUAUUCGUAACGAAAAAUGGGGCGAUCAUUCAGUCAGGGAUCUAUGGCGAUUUGCUAGAUUCAUGUUCAGAUUUUCUAGCUCUUGUUGCUGCUCACCACAGUUCCAUGGAAGGGUCAGGGGUGCAAGGCCACACUGUUCAGAACACAGAGAAUUCUCCAGCCACGGGUAACUCCAAACCCAUUAAAGAAAACAGCAAUACGACCGCUAUUGCUCCGAGCAAUGAAGCUGGUUCUUCUAAGCUAAUUGAGGAAGAGGAAAAGGAGAGUGGCCAAGUGAGUUGGCAUGUGUACAAGCUAUACAUCACACAGGCUUGGGGUUGGUGGGGAGUUCUGCUCAUUCUAGCCAUAUCUGUGCUGACAGAGGGAUCCAGAAUGGCUAGCAACUACUGGCUGUCAUAUGAAACAUCAGGAGGCACCAUAUUUGACAUUUCCAUGUUUCUUGGUGUCUAUGCGUCAAUAGUUUCUGCUUCGGUUGUAUUUCAGUUUAUCAGCCUUCUUUUCAUCGCCUUUUUGGGGCUUAAAUCAGCGCAGGCCUUUUUCGGUAAGAUGUUUAACAGCAUUCUACGAGCUCCAAUGUCAUUUUUUGACACCACUCCUUCAGGAAGGAUUCUAAGCCGGGUAUCAGCGGACCAAACUAAAAUAGACACUGCCCUUCUAUUCUAUAUGGGUAUUGGUGUAUCGAUGUGCAUUUCGGUGGUUAGCAGCAUUGCAGUCACCUGCCAAGUAGCAUGGCCGUCAGCCAUAGCGGUGCUUCCCCUGCUGCUAUUGAACAUUUGGUACCGGAAUCGUUAUAUUGAAACAUCCCGAGGGCUAACUCGUCUCCAAGGAGUCACAAAUGCACCAGUUAUUGAUCACUUAACGGAGACCAUUUUGGGUGCUCCAACUAUAAGGUGCUUUGGGAAGGAGGAUGGAUUUUACCAAACAAACUUGGACAGAAUUAAUUCAAAUUUGCGUAUGUCCUUCCAUAACUACGCAGCUAAUGAGUGGUUUGGAUUUCGCCUGGAGCUAAUUGGCACUCUUGUGUUGUCCAUAACUGCUUUUCUCAUGAUCAGCUUGCCUAGCAAUUUCAUCAAGAAAGAAUUUGUCGGCAUGUCCCUUUCCUACGGCCUUUCUCUCAAUUCCUUGGUGUACUUUGCAAUUUCAAUAAGUUGUAUGCUAGAAAACGAUAUGGUCUCGGUGGAGAGGGUGAAUCAGUACAGCGCUCUUCCUUCUGAGGCAGCAUGGGCAGUGUCAGAUUGUCUCCCCUCGGCAAAUUGGCUGCAGCGAGGAGAUAUUGACAUAAAGGAUCUAGAGGUUAGGUAUCGACCAAACACACCUCUGAUUUUGAAAGGCAUUACGAUAAGCAUCCGCAGUGGAGAAAAGAUAGGAGUUGUGGGAAGGACCGGCAGUGGCAAGUCAACCUUAGUCCAGGCAUUGUUCAGGCUUGUGGAGCCUGCAAAAGGCCAGAUUGUCAUCGAUGGAGUAGAUAUUUGCACUUUGGGUCUUCAUGAUCUGAGGUCUCGCUUUGGCGUGAUUCCUCAAGAGCCUGCGCUCUUCGAAGGAACCGUGAGAAGCAACAUUGACCCAAUUGGGCAGUAUUCUGAGGCCGAGAUAUGGCAGGCCCUUGAGUGCUGCCAGCUAAAAGACACUGUAGCUGCAAAACCUGAGAAGCUUGAUGCACCAGUUGCCGACAUGGGGGAGAACUGGAGCGUGGGACAGAGGCAGCUUCUCUGCUUCAGCCGAGUCAUACUGAAGCGCAGUCAGAUCUUGUUCAUGGAUGAGGCGACCGCUUCUGUCGACUCCCAAACGGACGCGGCCAUCCAGAGGAUCAUCCGGGAGGAGUUCCGGGAGUGCACCGUCAUCAGCAUUGCUCAUCGUGUCCCGACCGUCAUGGACAGCGACAGAGUUCUGGUGUUGGAUGCAGGGUUAGUGAAAGAGUUUGAUGCUCCAUCCAAGCUGAUGGGAAGGCCAUCGGUUUUCGGGGCUAUGGUUCAGGAAUAUGCGAACCGCUCUUCUAGCGAGCAGGCAACCCAUGGAUGA